UAUCUCACAAACAGAUUGGUCAGGUAC
rnacentral:piRNA from 1 species